UCCGCUCCUCCUCCUUGCAAUGGAUUCAGCCCCAGAAAUGCCAGGUUUCAGGAAAAUCUAGGGAGAGUUCAGUGUGUUAAAAGCUUUCCUGUCGAUCCAGGAGCUCUCCAUGAUAUCCUCUCCUUCUGAGUUGAGGAAAGAAAUGGAAAACUUAUAUUCAUAAACUGCUUGACAGAUGGAGAGAAACUAAAAGAGAGAGAGAGAGAAAGAGAGGGAAACAGAAACAGAGAGGUUCAUUAUGAACAUAAACAUGUGCUGACACCUUCGUCUUCAAAAUUAGCAAUCACUCCAAAGCCUCAAAUCUCUAGGAGAGUGAAUAAACCUGACAGUUCUAAUAGAUCUGAUGAACAGAAUGAUUAUGAUGGAAGUUAGUACUGAUUUACAUUGGAAAUCUUUUUCUUUCCCCCACUCGACUGAGUCUGAAGACAGCUUCACUUUCCUGCCACCAGCCAACUAGAUUCCACCACGUCACUGUGAAUUCUCCUAGACGGAUCUCUGGAUUUCUUUCCACACCAUGGUCCAGCUUGUCAGCAUCAGCUGCUGGUGAGCUGCAUUCAUUUCGCUGCGCGUAGACCAUGAGACACUGGAGGGCAGAGAUAUUUUCUCCUAUUUCUUGAAACCUCAGCACCAAGCACCCUGCCUCGUACAAGUGACUGUUGAAUGGGUGCAGACUGAAUAAAUUACUCAUAGCGAUCGAAGCCCUCGCUCCUACAUAUCUGAAACAAGCUGGAAAGUGACACCUUUUCUACCGGAAGGAACACUGAGCACUCCUUUAUUUCUUGGAGAGAGAAGCAGCUGUUUCUCUGUGUCUUGGAGAUGAUUACUGGAAAAUCAACGGAAUGGAAAUUGGUAAAGAAGUAGAAAGUGCUUAGUUCAGGAGAUGACAAAAAGAGAGGUGAGAAAUGAAUAAGAACGAUAGAGCCUCCCCAAGCCAAAAUCAAUAAAGGAUGAAUCUCUUCUCAGGCCACCAUGGACAGGGCUACCUAUUUUUCACACCUGAUAGAGGCCUCUGGAUUUAUGCCCGUGCUGUGAGGGGUGGGCAGCCGGGCAGUUUCAUUUGCAAGAACAGACACUAAGAUACUACCCUGGGGACAGGCAGUGAGUUGGCUUGGAGACAGCGGCAGCAGGAAGGAGAGAAGCCAGGCUCCAUUAUGCUCCAGGAAACAUCCAUGAGCUACCCACUCUCUGCUGGGCAAGCUUACCUCUUGCAGCUGCUCCGGUGCUUAAAGCUGGCAUGUCUGCGGCACCAGCCUUGUCUCAUUCCAGCCAUCCUCCACUGGCUCAAGAAGUGGCCUUCCAAAUCAAAUACAGGACUACUUUACUAUCCUGGUUCAAAUCCUCCAAGAAUGACUUCAUGGGUUCCAUGAUCCCGCCUGGAAAUUGUAUGCAAAAGAAUGGAGAAAGAGAGAGAGUCCAUAGCUACCUGCCCCCAAAUGGUUAGAAACCACUCCUCUAGGGGGUCCCUAUACCUUUUAGGAAAAAGCCCAAUCUCCUUAAUGUGACAUGCAAGACUGUCCAUGAUCACAUCUCUUUGGCAGUUCUCUCUUACCCUCUCACUUUGGAGCCCAUCCUCAGCACACGGGUUGUCCCGGAUUGCACCACAGUCUCCCCCAGAGCACUCUGCUAGAGCCCAACUCUUCCCCUCUCUGCUUGGACACUCCCUACUCACACCCAGAGUAAGCUUUCCCUGAUAUCCCCACCCUAAGAGCCUUCCCAGCUUCUUUCCUGAUCUAGGUACCCCGAGAACACAAACUUGAGUCUUUGAAAGGCAGGGAACUUGUGUGCCCAAAUCUAUAUUUCUAGUUUGGACUAGAGUCUGGCAAGGUAUUGGACUGAACUGGAUAAUUAGCAAGAGGACCUUGGGUGAGUUAAGUAGUUGAUGGCUCUGGGCUUUAAAUAUAGAAAUGGUAAGGAUCAAAUGAAAUAUCUUAAAUAUGGGCGGAUUCUCUAGAACUGUGCUAUUCAAUGCAAUAUCUGCCUGCCACAUGUGGUCAUUUAAAUUUAAACUAAUUAAAAUUAAGUAGAAUUAAAUAUUCAGUUCCUCAGUCACAGUAGCCACUUCUCCAGUGCUCAGUAACCACAUGUGGCCAGUGGCUUCUGUUUUGUACUGUUUUUAUAGUAUAUUGUAGAGUGUGUAUACUUGUGUAGAAUGUUGCAUAGAACAUUUCCAUCCUUGCAGAAAUUUCUGAUGCCCAGCAAGGCUCUAGGAGGUCUCUAAAUUGGACCACUGCUGACACUCUGGAGUUUUAGAAACCUGUAAAUCCCAUAGUGAUUUGCUCUCUCUUCUGCUGAGUCCAGGCUUCCUUUCAAAGUUACUGGGGUUUUGGAGAAACCAGCUCCCCAUUCACGCAGCGUUUUUUUUUCCCUCACAUGAAGUUGUUGGAUCACCUUUUGCUCAUAAAGGGAGAGAGCAGGAAAUGGAGGAGCUCUCACCCUCUUCCCUUGGGAAAAUUAAACCCUUCUCUCUGCUGCAGUGGUUGGAUGGGAGCGGUGGGGCCUCCCGGGGUCCCUGUGGGGUGGGUACUUCACAAGGUGGGGCCAGAGGUUUUCCAGCUUGUCCAAAGCCAGCGCUUUGGAGACAGGUUCAAGGACAGAAAAAUUUCAGGGGGGAAAAAUCCCUAAAAAACUCCUGAAAGAGCAGUUGGUGAGUUUUUGAAAGAAGACUAAAGUUUUGACAUGCUGUGCUUUGCAAGCAUAGAGAGCAGGUGCAAGCUCUUGCCAGGGGGCAGAAGAUCUUCAUUUCAGUGCCAGCUUGCCACCAACUUGCUGGUAACUUUGGCAAGUCACUGUCCCUCUCUUUGGGCCAGCACUUUCCCCAUCUAUCCAUUACUGGUAUAUGCAAGAUCUCUCAGGGUCCUGGAUUUAAAGCAGUAUGCCCAAGGUUGCCAGUCUGCUCCCUUUGGAAGCUGUUAGAAUGACGCCAUCGGGAAAUUCAUGGAAGGUCAGUGGAUGCAGUCUGCUCAUCUACGGGCUCCUCACGGAGCAAAGACUUGACAUCAGUCCUGCAUUCACCACUCCAGCCCCUUCUAGGAGGCAUGAGACAAUGCAGGUCUCUGCAGCCCAACACCUGUGGAAGAAGUGAGCCACCUGGACAUUUGCAAAUAUCUCAAAAUCAUUCUGAUGUUUAUUGCUCAUCUGUUUUCCACAUCUCCACAAUGCCUGAGUGAUGGAGGCCACAGCCAAUUAGAAAUGCAUGAAUAAUAGCCCACAGUGUCAGGGUUUGCAUAAGCUUCAUGCUGACACAUCCCUUCCCAGACAUCCUCGCCUUUGAUAUUCUCAUCAACUCCAGGAAGGUAAGGUGGAGAUUGUUGGUGUGGCCAUGACUAGAUGCAGAAGUUGGAACCUUCUAGCAUUGCUCAGAGGAAGUGGCAAAGCUGGGUCUCAACUCAUGGUUUUUAGCUCACACUGGUCUUACUGGGCCAUGCUGGGUUGCAGUGGUCACCUCCUGUGACGGAGCAAAUGAGUAUAUGAACCUCUGUGAAGCUACAUGUCAUUCUGACCAGCGGCCGGGCUGGAACGUCCAUUUGUCAUUGUAAACACAUGGUCACGAGCAACACGGAGGUGUUGAGAUAACCAGAAGAUGAAUCCAAUUUCAUCUAUCCUUUUUUAUAUGAAGGAAGAACUUGGGCAGAUUCACCUCCUGCAGGCUCACAUUCCUCCUUUGCAACAGGAGGAAAAUGUUUCUCUGCCUACAGGCUUAUUCUGAGAACAAAAGCAUUGUCUUGACACACUUAGCAAACAGUAGAUGGUCAAACUAUGCCAUUUUUCCUUGUAUACAGUUUUUUUUCCUUUCCUUAUGCGGGCUUGAAGGAACGGUUAGAAAGAGGAAGAUAGAUGGACAAAGCUACUUGUUCCUGGCCCUAGAGCGAGAAUCGAGACUGGUAAACGGAAGCUUUUGAGAGGUGUGAGACUGGUUCUCCCCAGACUGUUGUGGCUAGCAGGAUGUUCCUCAGGGGGGGAGGCAGGCCUCUGGGCUGGUGCUGUGAGAAUCUGCACUGAGGCCCCAGAGCCUGAGCACUGAGUCUUUCUCACGGGCCCCAUUUCUGUUUCUGGGAAAGCCACGCCAUCCCUGUGGCCUUCUCCAACUCUUCUGUCCACCUAUGACAUCCUACUCAUCCCUUCAGCCAGGUGGAGGGCUGGGGUGGUUCCUUGCAACUGGAAGAAAGAGACCAGGGGACUUGUUCCCCUUUAUGCCAGGAUGGGUGACUCAAGGCUUUGCAUAAUUUAGCAAGGGCUAUGUGAACUCACUCUUCUUCCCAGCUGGCAGUCCUGCUUACCUCUCUAUGUGGGUUUCUGAAGGGCGGUGAUUAAGCUCAGAGCUGGGGUGAGGAUGAAGCUGCCAAAUGCCCCAGGAUAGGGCAAGGCCGACAGCGAGGUAGGUCUGGCCUCUCCCACUCAGGAUAAACAAGAGCAGCUUCCAAAGGGACUCUGCUCUCAAAUGAACAACUGACCUCUUGUUACCUGGCUCUUUCAUCUUCUAGAAAGAGGAGAAGCAGACCAGGAGCCCACUGUGACCUGGGUCUGGGAGGCAUCCAUUCUAGCCCCGGCACCCCUCUAACUCUCUGUGUGACUAGAAAUUGAGGAACACAAGUGUAAAUUAGGAGUAAUCUAUUUCUUAAGUGAACAUGGCCAAGUGUAAGGCAUCAGCGGCUCAUCAACUCUAAAGCAACCUUGGCGUGUGCUCUUUUAAAGCCAUCAGCCCCUCCUGUUUUCACUUUUGUAGGAGCAAAUUCACACAGUGCGAUGGGAGCAAAGCCUGCGGUCCCUCUGUCGAAAUAGAAACAUCUUCUUAGGGUUUGCGUAUUCCUUUUUUCUUUUUAUUCAUAGUCACUUGCCUUUUCUGCCAAUAAUAAUAAUAACAAUGAUUAAUUUCAUUGGGUUCUUAUAAUGAGUCAAGCAGUGUCUAAGCACUUUACCUGCCAUCUUACUUAAUCCUCAGCAGAUCUAAGAGGCUGCUGUGAUCUUGGUGACCAUUUACAAUGGAGGUGAGUGUGGGUCAGAGGAGACAAAACACCUGCCUGAGCCCACAGUGUCAGUCAACUUAGAGCCCGUUCUCUGAACCUUAGGAGCCCAUGGGCAGCCGCUGUGCCCUCGGGGCUCUCUCUUCUCCCUGGAAUAUCUAAAUCUGGGGCCAGCCUGAGAUCCGCCAGGCCCUUCCUCUGGUCAGUUGGGCUCAGAGGGCAGGAUGUCCAAGUCCCAUGGCCACACAGCACCAGGCCUCCUAUCUGGGCUGAUCCGACAUCCCCACGGGACUCCAGACUCCCACCAAGGGUGGCCCCAUGGUCUACCAUCUUGGUGCCUGAGGCCACGAGCCUCCCCAGCAGGGGCUGCUCUCAGGAGCUGCUUCAGUAGGGGCUUGUGAAAGUCUCGCCCCGGGUCCUGGAAGGCCCCGAAGAAAGGGAGCGCGGAGGAGGGAAGAGGAGAUGGGCAGGAAGGGAGUUUUGCGGUGUAUUCAAAUACAAACAUGAGCAUCCACAUUCCAAGGUGAGGCUAAAAAGCAUCAGGGGAGGAACAUUUGUCCUGGCUUCAGAAAUGCAGUGUCACCGUAGAAGCAGAGUGAGAGUAGACCCUUGAGGCUGUCCCUAUUUUGGACUUCAAUUUGGUCAACGUCAUCAUUGACAAAUUACCUUCGUACCCGAGUUUAUAACUGAAAACAUGAGUUCUCUGCUAUAUUCAUCUUUCAGUAGAUGCCCGAGGACUCGUGGGCUUCCUUAAAAGGCAGAGUGGAUGGAUUUUAUGGAUGUAAAUGAUUAAGAUAAUGAUGAUGGUCCUUAGUCUUACCUCACAUUCUUGAAACUUACAGUUUUUUCAAUACUGCAGGAGAAUGGGCUAUUUCCCAGAGACCGAACAGAAGGUCAGCCCUCCUUUCCACGCUGGACACUCAUGUUGGAAGCUCCAGGGUGGAUGGAAGGAUGAGCUGGAUAUUGGCCAGACCUGCUCUUAACGUUUGACUCUUCUGCUUCUCAAGUCUGAGUCUCCUGAAAAGUCACUUGUCUGAGUCUCCUCUUUAUAAUAAAAAUUACUUUCAGAAAUGCUUGACUUUUUAUGAGGACUAAAUGACAUAAUAUACCUAGUGUCUGACUCAGAGUCUGGAAUGCACGGAUCACUUAAUACAAGUACUUUUCUGUUCCUCCCUCUCUGCCUUCUGCUCCGUUUCCUUCCUGCCUGCCUUCUGAGCUUCAGAGGUGGGGGUCUAGAAAAGGACCUAAUACCUGCUAUAACCCUCAGUGGAGGGGACACAGGCACAAAUCAUGGGCAGACUCCACUCUGAUUGUGCAGAAGGAACAGUGCCCACUGGAUAGAGUGGUGUAGAAGCUUUGAGGAGAGGUUUAAGCUCAGGUGGGAGGGUGGGAUGACAAAGUUACCAGAAGCCAGAUGCCUUUGGGGUGCCCUGCCCAGUCUGGCUAUGGUUUCUCUUUAGCUGUUUCUCAUUUCACCCUGUUCUCCACGCUCCAGCUCCAAAGGGACAGCCCUGUGACAUCUUCUCUGAGGUAGAAUCAAGCUCCCCCAACCUCAGACCCGUUAGACGCCAACAGAGCUGCCAUCCAGUGGCCCCCUCCCUGUGGCUUACUACUUCUGUGUCUGUAUUUUAGAAAAGGCUGUGAGCUAGUAGAGAGGGGACUGUCUCUAUCCUCACUCUGUUGGAGCACCUGAGACAGUGCUGGACCCAUUGUGGUCACAGUUGAUGGAAGAACAAACCAACUGAGCACCGAUGUCAUCUUUCAGCCACAUGUUUACUUAGAGGGGGUCCAAAGUCACAUUCCGUGUCUUUGCUGGAGACACAUGGGUCCCUGAAGACCUAACAUUAGGCUCUGAUUAGGUUCAGGGGUUGCCUCCCUCAUUCAUUUAACCCGCCAUUCCACCAGCACUCAGCCAGUGCCUUCCAUGUCCCGUACGCCACUCAGCACUGGGUAAGCCCUCAUUGGGAAAGACCGUCUCAGCUUUUGCAGAGUAUUGGGAGAGGAGGUGUAAUUAAAUAAGUAAACACACACUUAGAUCUAUAAAUUACAAUCCUAGAACAGUGUGGCUGCUUCCACGAGUGGGAAAGUGGGGCCAAGAAAGCAAAUUGGAUGGAGAGGAGAAAAAGUGUCCUCCAGCCAUACUCUGAUAAGGGGCUUGGGAUUAAGAGUCUCCAAAUUGCCAAACUGCCAAAUCUGGAAGUCCAUAUUCUGGUCCCACAUGAACCCAGACCCCUGUGGAAAGAAGGUUGAUUGGUUAGGAGAGAGGAUCCUACUUAUCAGCCCACCAGGGGCCACAUUACCCGGCGCUAGGUUUGGCUAUUCUGGGUACAGGAAAUGUUGAGUCAAAAAUUUUAGCAGAUUCUUUGAUUUUUCUUUCACACUGGAUUCUUGGAGCUUGAACUGCUGGGAUGUCAGUCAAGGGAAAGUGUCCGACACCCAAAAUGACACACAGACUUGUUAAAGCUUGUCUCACACACAGUUCUAUAUCUAUCAGUUUAUCCAGAUUUUCCUUA